GGGGUGGAGCAGCAGGUCUCUUUGGAGGUGGCCUGGAAGAAACCGGACAGAGAGGAUGGGAAGGGGAGAAACAGAAGAGUGUGACGAGAUCAUGAAGGAAAGAGGAGGCGUCUACUGAAUGUAAGGUAGAGCCAAAGGCAUCUAUUGAUGACUGAAGAAGAGGCAUGAAUAUGACAAAAACAGGAAGAAGCCCACAAUGAUGAUGAAAUUAGAAAGGAAGACAAGAACAACAAGGUUGUGGAAUUCAGAAGCCAUAUAGACAAGAGGUAACACACCUGAGAAAGAUGAUCCCUAAAUUUGUCUUGGAGAAAACUCGGAAGUACCUGACUACAUCAUAGACCUCCCAAACAGCUUCCAAAUGUCAGAUACCACUGAAAAUGGGGAUAAAGACCACUAGAGAUUAGAAAAUUGUUCUCUGGGGUAUCUGACCACUUCCAGAGGAAAGACAUAAAGAUGCUGAUGUCAAGAAUGACCCAACUAAACGGCCCAGCCAGAUGACCCAGUUGAAGCUGGUGGACAAGAAGUUUCAUUCAUGGAAUCAGAACUUCCAAUAAGCUGGGAAAACGGCAAUGGAUUAAUAACAAGAAAUUAAUGGUGAAGUGGUGACGAAAAUUCUACAUUGCUUAGAAAGCAAAUAGUGAAAUGAACAUUUACAUUCUGGCAACCUCAGAAGUACAACGAACAGAGGACACCAGCCAGGUAGGGCAAAGGCCUGUGCGCCCCCUUUUGCUGUUACAUGUUUAUCAGAUGCGUGCUCUGUUUCUGUUGUAUUACAUUACUUUUCUCUUCAAUGUCUACUGAGGAAGAACAAGUAGCUCCUCAGGCAAGUCAACUGUUAACUCUGCAGUUUUUAUUUAAUCUCCCAGGAAUGUAACCCUUAACUUUAAAGAAUGUAGUGACCAUAAAACUUAUAAGGCAUGUUUCUUAAGGAAAUUGUACCUGUUUAUUUAAUCUAUCAGAUAUGAAUGUUAUAGAAAAUUAAAUUUGUCCACUUAAGCUGUAGAUGAACUUUUCACCUUUCUGAUCAGAAAUUCACCAUUUUAUAGUAUAGGUUCUGUUAUUAAUCAGAAUAUUUCAUUUAGACUCUUUCUAUCCAACUUUUUCUUAGAGGCUAUUCAAAAUAAAGGUGCUUCUAACAGUUUCAUAUCGAAAUACGAUGCAAAGCCUUGCUCUUCCAUGGUAUCCUUUGAGUGAGCCAAACUUAUUUAGCCAUUCCCCUAUAGUUAAAUAGCUAGGAUGUUUCCAACAUCUCACCUUUAAAACAAUAGUGCUAUGAAUGUCAUAAAUGUUUGUAUAUGUAAAUAUGUAGGAUAAAUCCCUAUCAGUAGAAUUUCAAAAGGUAUACGCAAUCAGUAUUUUCAUACAUAUUUAAAAUUUUCCAUCCAUACAAAGGUUGCUAACAUAUUUAUUUAAAAUUUUAAAAAUAAUUUUAUAUGCCUCUUGUAACCAGUAAUAGGAUGCAAAGUUUUUGUUUUAAGGUAACAUUGCUCCUCUUCCCCCAUUGUCUCUGUCAUCUAUAGUACUCCCUAAGGUAGUUCAUGUUAUUGCAAGGGUGUGUAUCAUCCCAAACAUAUUGCUUCCACAUACAUAUAUCAGCAUACAUAUAUAUAUAUGUAUAGCAUAUAUAUAUAUGAGCACAUAUUAAUAUAUGCCCAUGCACAUACAAGCAUGUUUUUGUUAAUUUUUACUGAAAUGGAAUCAUGCUACAUACUUAUGAACAAAUUGCUUCUUUCACCUUAUAUCACUUAUAAUUGUUAUUCUACAAAUCAGUACAUAUAAAAAAUACAUAUUUACAUAUGUAAUACUCUAUCUGUUAUAAUUUUCUGCAUGCACAUGUAUGCAUAUACAUAUAUUCAUAAACAUAAAAAUCUAAACGGGAUUUUUUUG
rnacentral:lncRNA from 1 species